AUAUGAUGGAUGGAUAGAAAUAGC
rnacentral:siRNA from 1 species